AUACGUAGGGGGCGAGCGUUGUCCGGAUUUACUGGGCGUAAAGGGUGAGUAGGCGGUUAUAUAUGUCAGAUGUAAAAGGCGUAGGCUUAACUUACGUAAGCAUUUGAAACUGUAUAACUUGAGUGCAGGAGAGGUAAGUGGAAUUCCUAGUGUAGCGGUGAAAUGCGUAGAUAUUAGGAGGAACACCAGUGGCGAAGGCGACUUACUGGUCUGUAACUGACACUGAGGCGCGAAAGCGUGGGGAGC
rnacentral:rRNA from 1 species